GUAGACAUAAUUUAACAAAAAUAUUAGAUUGUGAUUCUAAAAAUGAGGGUUAAAGCCCCCCUGUCCACC
rnacentral:tRNA from 1 species